CAAAUACUCCCUCCGUCCGGAAUUACUUGUUAUCAAAUGUUGGAAUCGAUAAAAGGAAAUGUAUCUAGACGUAUUUUAGUUUUAGAUACAUCUCUUUUUAUCCAUUUUGAUGACAAGUAUUUUCGGACGAAGGGAGUAGAAA
rfam:Triticum urartu cultivar G1812 contig315416, whole genome shotgun sequence.